CUAUUUCAAGAGAUCUUAUUUGUAUUACAAAUGAAGACAGCUGGUCUUCCAGUGUUUCAUAUGCAGUGUUAGUUUUCUUGAUUUUUUUUGGGAUGAAUGAGCAUUUUCUUCCUUUUGUUAGGCGUAAGAUUAUGUUGGGAGUUGGGUUGAUGCAAAACUCUCCAAGCUUUAAUCAGAGAGAACACGGAUUGGGAUCCAUGAUGCAACCUUCUCAAGAUUAAGAGAAGCUAUAUUCAAAUAAAGAGGAACGCUUGAAGGAUAUGAAAGGUGCAGAAAGCAACUUGUAUUCCACAGAUGGUUGAAAUAAAUGGGUUCAUGAUCUA